GAAAAAAUGAUGUGAUUGCAAAAGGUAAAAAAAAUCUCAACAAUUCACUAACUGAUAAUCAUUUUAUUGGUAUAAAAUCAAAGACAUAAUUACUUUAUUGCAGUGAGGCGAAUGACGGGAGAUUUCCAAGUGGGCAGAGAUGCGGCAGGGAGUGGUGGUGCGGGAUAUCUGAAUCAACGUUUAGCACCAAUUGAAGGCAUUGUUUAAUCGAGGAAAGUUUGAGUGUGAGAUUGUAAUUGGCAGAUGAGUUUUGUAGUUGAGUGGAGUGGAAAAACAUUGGCAAGUUGAUUUCAUUUUCCCGCGCCAUAGUUUUAUUCGUGAAAUGGUGUUGGUUUGCACCGUUUACUAAUUUUCUUAUUAAUGAAAACAAUUAAAAUUAAAUGAGACGCAAUCAUAUUUUUUUAAAUAUAGUGGUUGUGGUUUACUCAUUUCUU
rnacentral:lncRNA from 1 species